UAUCAAUGACCAAACAGUUUCAGCAACGAAUGUCUAGGUUCCUACAACGAUGAAGAACGCAGCGAAAUGCGAUACGUAAUGCGAAUUGCACGAUCAGCGAGUCAUCAAAACUUUGAACGCAGCUUGCACUUCCUUGUGGAGUGUGUCUGUUGGAGUGUCUGUGGAUCCCCCACAC
rnacentral:rRNA from 4 species